rnacentral:rRNA from 1 species
UACGAAGGGGGCGAGCGUUGUUCGGAUUUACUGGGCGUAAAGGGCGCGUAGGCGGCUGGGGAAGUCGGCGGUGAAAGCCCGGAGCUCAACUCCGGGUCGGCCGUCGAGACUCCUCGGCUCGAGCUCACUAGAGGCAGAUGGAAUUCCGGGUGUAGCGGUGGAAUGCGUAGAGAUCCGGAAGAACACCGGUGGCGAAGGCGGUCUGCUGGGGUGAGGCUGACGCUGAUGCGCGACAGCGUGGGGAGCAAACAGG